GACGGAGGGUGCUAGCGUUGUUCGGAAUUACUGGGCGUAAAGGGCGCGUAGGCGGCACAGCAAGUCGGGAGUGAAAGCCCGGGGCUCAACCCCGGAAUGGCUUUCGAAACUGCUGAGCUAGAGUACAGAAGGGGCAACCGGAAUUCCCAGUGUAGCGGUGAAAUGCGUAGAUAUUGGGAAGAACACCUGAGGCGAAGGCGGGUUGCUGGGCUGAUACUGACGCUGAGGCGCGAAAGCCAGGGGAGCAAACGGG
rnacentral:rRNA from 1 species